rnacentral:rRNA from 1 species
GACGAACGCUGGCGGCGUGCUUAACACAUGCAAGUCGAACGGAAAGGCCUGCUUUCCCUUGUGGAUUGCGGGUACUCGAGUGGCGAACGGGUGAGUAACACGUGAGUGAUCUGCCCCCAACUUGGGUAUAAGCCUGGGAAACUGGGUCUAAUUCCCGAUAGGACUGCAGGGUGGUGCCUGUGGUGGAAAACGAUUUUCUAGUGGUUGGGGAUGAGCUCGCGGCCUAUCGGCUUGUUGGUGGGGUAAUGGCCUACCAAGGCGGCGACGGGUAGCCGGCCUGAGAGGGUGGACGGCCACAUUGGGACUGAGAUACGGCCCAGACUCCUACGGGAGGCAGCAGUGGGGAAUAUUGCACAAUGGGCGGAAGCCUGAUGCAGCGACGCCGCGUGGGGGAUGACGGCCUUCGGGUUGUAAACUCCUUUCGACCGCGAGGAAGCCACCUGGUUGGAAGGGUGGUGACGGUAGUGGUAGAAGAAGCACCGGCUAACUACGUG